GAUGAACGCUGGCGGCGUGCCUAAUACAUGCAAGUCGAGCGAACGGACGAGAAGCUUGCUUCUCUGAUGUUAGCGGCGGACGGGUGAGUAACACGUGGAUAACCUACCUAUAAGACUGGGAUAACUUCGGGAAACCGGAGCUAAUACCGGAUAAUAUUUUGAACCGCAUGGUUCAAAAGUGAAAGACGGUCUUGCUGUCACUUAUAGAUGGAUCCGCGCUGCAUUAGCUAGUUGGUAAGGUAACGGCUUACCAAGGCAACGAUGCAUAGCCGACCUGAGAGGGUGAUCGGCCACACUGGAACUGAGACACGGUCCAGACGCCUACGGGAGGCAGCAGUAGGGAAUCUUCCGCAAGGGGCGAAAGCCUGACGGAGCAACGCCGCGUGAGUGAUGAAGGUCUUCGGAUCGUAAAACUCUGUUAUUAGGGAAGAACAUAUGUGUAAGUAACUGUGCACAUCUUGACGGUACCUAAUCAGAAAGCCACGGCUAACUACGUG
rnacentral:rRNA from 1 species